AUUUCUUUAAAGGGAGAGUGAGACUCGUUCUGUCAGUGUGUGUGAGCCUGGGCCAGUGAAGUGACUCCUGAGGUUUGGCACACAUGAGAUGUCCGGUGCUCCCUGUUUGCAGUCAGUGUUGAAGAAGGAGGCUCUAUGACCUGUAAAGACACACCCCUCCGUCAGCGUGGUCACAUGGAAGUGUUGCAGUUGCUGCUGGGAAAACAGGGUGUGGAGCAUGGAGGAGGAUGUGGGUGGAUUCAGCAUGGAUGAAGAGGAAUGUGUUGGACACGAAUGCAGCACAACACGAGCAAGAACACAAAGAAAAGAAAAAAACGUCUUAGCUUGUGUUAAUACUCACUCUGAUCCUGAUGAGUCACCAUCCACUGUCCCUGCCUUAAUGCUCA